rnacentral:rRNA from 1 species
CCGGCAACCGGUGAAACUUCAAGGGAUUGAACCGGGGGCCCGCACAAGCGGAAGGAAACAUGGUGUUAAUUGGAUGAUACGCGAGGAACCUUACCCGGUCUUGAAACUGCCCAGCGAACCGAUACCAGAGAUGUUGAGCCCUUCGGGCGUCUGGUGGAAGGUGCUGCAUGGUUGUCGUCAGCUCGUGCCCGUAGAGGUGUCGGGCUUAAGUGCCAUACACGAGCGCAACCCCUGCCCCCAGUUGCCAUCGGGUCAUGCCGGGCCCUUUGGGGGGGACUGCCAUCCACAAGGUGCGAGGAAGGUGGGGAUAACUGUCAAAUCAGCACGGCCCUUACGUCCGGGGCUACACACGUGUUACAAUGGGGGGCACAGAGAGUUGCUUGCCGGCGACGGUUGGCGGAUCUUCAAAUCCCCUUUCAGUUCGGAUCGGAGUAUGCAACCCGACUCCGUGAAGAUGGAUUCGCUAGUACUCGCGCAUCAGCCACGGCCCGGUGAAUACGUUCCCGGGCCUUGUACACACCGCCCGUCAAGCCAUGAAAGCCGGGGGCGCCUGAAGUCCGUUAAAGCGAGGAUCGGCCUAGGGCGAGACCGGUGAUUGGGGCU